CAUGAAGCUGGAAUUGCUAGUAAUGGCAGGUCAGCAUACUGCCGUGAAUACGUUCCCGGGCCUUGUACACACCGCCCGUCACACCAUGAGAGUUGGGAAUACCCGAAGCCUGUGAGCUAACUUAUAGAGGCAGCAGCCGAAGGUAGAAUCAAUGAUUGGGGUGAAGUCGUAACAAGGUAGC
rnacentral:rRNA from 1 species